rnacentral:rRNA from 1 species
ACUACGGGUGGCAGCAGUGAGGAAUAUUGGUCAAUGGGCGGAAGCCUGAACCAGCCAAGUAGCGUGCAGGAUGACGGCCCUACGGGUUGUAAACUGCUUUUAUACGGGAAUAACGAGCCUUACGUGUAGGGCUUUGCAUGUACCGUAUGAAUAAGGACCGGCUAAUUCCGUGCCAGCAGCCGCGGUAAUACGGAGGGUCCGGGCGUUAUCCGGAUUUAGUGGGUGUAAAGGGAGCGUAGGCCGCUCGUCAAGCGGGCUGUGCAAUGGCCGGGCUCAACCCGGGCCUUGCAGCGCGAACUGGCGUGCUUGAGUCCGCGGAAAGCAGGCGGAAUUCGUGGUGUAGCGGUGAAAUGCGUCGAUAUGACGAAGAACCCCGAUUGCGAAGGCAGCUUGCUGCAGCGGAACUGACGCUGAUGCUCGAAAGCGCGGGUAUCGAACAGGAUUAGAUACCCGAGUAGUC